CUUCAUCUUAAAUGUAAUUAUUCAAUUAACAUUAUAACCUAGCCUCGAUGUGAUGUGUGUAAAUUGAAAACUCAUUUCCAUAAAUGCAGUAAUUGGCGAUUAUUUUUGGAGGUUUUAUUUUCUUCUAAUAUUUUUGUGAAGAUGGUUAUUGGGCUGUAUGUCGUUUUUUCCUCGCAUGCUGGGAUGUUUCGAGUGCUACUGGCUGGUUUGUGAGACUGGUUGAAUCAAGUAGCUAUCCGUUGUGAAUGGUUGGUCAUCAUUUUGAAUCAUAGAAUUCAGUUCACAACUCGCGCGAAGACAAUAAUUGAUUCUGAAUUAAAAUGGGUGUGUUCUCAGUAGUCAUCUCACUGUUGACAACUAUACAGUUUAUGAGCAAUUACAGCACUUUUGCACUCGUUCCCUUUUUUAAUUAUAUAAUGUUAGGUUAUGUUACAAAUGUAUAUUAUAUGAAUGUAUUUGAUAAUCCUGACAUUGAUAAUAAUACCAAGUGUUUCGUAUCCUUAUAUCAUGGGUGGCCAGAGCAUAUAAACUUGACCCGAUAUAAUGAUAUAUAUCAUGAAAGUAACAGCUAUGAUGUUUGUGACUAUGCAGAAAGAAUGUUGCAGUUGCAUAAGCAUGUCCUCUUAUGGGGAAUCUAUAGUAAAGACCCCAAGGUUAAAAAAUACAAUAACCGUAUAGCUGGUAUUGAAUAUGCUUAUGCAUUUUCCAAGUUUUCUGGUCAACCUUACGAAUAAUCAUGUAAAACUUCAACAAUUAUAGUUUGCCACCAUUUGUGUUAGUAGUGAUUUGGUUUUCAACAGUUUUUUGAGGCCAAUGAAACUUUCACUGAAGAAAGAUACUAAUUAUGUAAUUACAUGAUGGUUGGAAUUUACUGAUUUGUUUAUUUAUGUGUUCAUACUUAGUAUAAAAAUAACUUGAUAUUUAUUGAAGUAUUUGUAGACGCCAUAUACUAAAAAAAAGAAAGAAAAAAGAAAUGAAAUUUGCUUUGAAGAGUCCCCAGGUAUACUGUAUUCAGGCCUAUGAGACUUCAUAAUUUAGUGACUGUACUACUGUAAAUUGUAGGUAUAUGUAGAUACUGGACAAUAAUAUCAUAUGUUGUGAUGAUCAUGUCAUGUUUAUAUUUACAUCAUGUUUACAUACCACAAUACAGGUACCUAGCUUAGAAUUAAACUGGAAAUGAACUGAAA